UGCGUAGGGUGCGAGCGUUGUCCGGAAUUACUGGGCGUAAAGAGCUCGUAGGUGGUUUGUCGCGUUGUUCGUGAAAACUCACAGCUUAACUGUGGGCGUGCGGGCGAUACGGGCAGACUGGAGUACUGCAGGGGAGACUGGAAUUCCUGGUGUAGCGGUGGAAUGCGCAGAUAUCGGGAGGAACACCAGUGGCGAAGGCGGUUCUCUGGGCAUUACCUGACGCUGAGGAGCGAAAGCAUGGGGAGCGAACAGG
rnacentral:rRNA from 1 species